CUACACGGGUAUCUAAUCCUGUUUGCUCCCCACGCUUUCGCACCUCAGCGUCAGUAAUGGACCAGUGAGCCGCCUUCGCCACUGGUGUUCCUCCGAAUAUCUACGAAUUUCACCUCUACACUCGGAAUUCCACUCACCUCUUCCAUACUCAAGAUACCCAGUAUCAAAGGCAGUUCCAGAGUUGAGCUCUGGGAUUUCACCCCUGACUUAAAUAUCCGCCUACGUGCGCUUUACGCCCAGUAAUUCCGAACAACGCUAGCCCCCUUCGUAUUACCGCGGCUGCUGGCAC
rnacentral:rRNA from 1 species